AUGCUAAAAUCUUCUACAAUCACUGUUACUCAUUCUCCAAAAUUGCUCCAUAAAAAAAACACUAACAUUUCUCCCUGUUUUACGAUGAUAACAACAAAAACUUCAUCUUUGCUAAUCGAUCAACAACAACAACCGUAUCCUCCCUAUGUUCCAAAACUUUCCGAACAACAACCAACCCUCAUCUUUCAUGGUUGCUCACUCGGUUAUCUCAUGGCUUUCAAGCUCUCUCAACCGAUUCACCAUACUUCACCGGUUUCGAUUUGUUUCUCUCUCUCUCUCUCUCACUCACAACUUCUACCGUAA